UACGAAGGGGGCUAGCGUUGUUCGGAUUUACUGGGCGUAAAGCGCACGUAGGCGGAUCGUUAAGUCAGGGGUGAAAUCCUGGAGCUCAACUCCAGAACUGCCUUUGAUACUGGCGAUCUUGAGUCCGGAAGAGGUGAGUGGAACUCCUAGUGUAGAGGUGGAAUUCGUAGAUAUUGGGAAGAACACCAGUGGCGAAGGCGGCUCACUGGCCCGUAACUGACGCUGAGGUGCGAAAGCGUGGGGAGCGAACCGG
rnacentral:rRNA from 1 species